rnacentral:misc_RNA from 1 species
GGCAAAAAAUGAAGUAAUGUAAAGCAAUCAAAUAUAGCAUUUGUAUAGAGAAGAGUAUAUGAUACAAAAAGCAUUCAUGAUCCCUUUAAUUAAAGAUUGCAAGCUCUCCACCUAAGGAGGACACUCCUUAAAAAGAAGGUAACCCACAAAUUAUUCCUACAUCUAUAUGCCUAAUUCUAUGCCCAAGAAUUAUAAAGAAAAAAAUUAUUCUUUGCACA